rnacentral:rRNA from 1 species
GACGAACGCUGGCGGCGUGCUUAACACAUGCCAGUCGAACGGAAAGGCCCCUUUGGGGGUACUCGAGUGGCGAACGGGUGAGUAACACGUGAGUAACCUGCCCUUGACUUCGGGAUAACUUCAGGAAACUGGGGCUAAUACCGGAUAGGAAUCCUUGCUGCAUGGUGGGGGUUGGAAAGCUUCGGCGGUUUUGGAUGGACUCGCGGCUUAUCAGCUUGUUGGUGGGGUAGUGGCUUACCAAGGCUUUGACGGGUAGCCGGCCUGAGAGGGCGACCGGCCACAUUGGGACUGAGAUACGGCCCAGACUCCGACGGGAGGCAGCAGUGGGGAAUAUUGCACAAUGGGCGGAAGCCUGAUGCAGCAACGCCGCGUGCGGGAUGACGGCCUUCGGGUUGUAAACCGCUUUCAGCAGGGGCGAAGCUUGUGGUGACGGUACCUGCAGAAGAAGCACCGGCUAACUACGUG